rnacentral:rRNA from 1 species
GUGAACCUGCGGAGGGAUCAUUACAAGUGACCCCGGUCUAACCACCGGGAUGUUCAUAACCCUUUGUUGUCCGACUCUGUUGCCUCCGGGGCGACCCUGCCUUCGGGCGGGGGCUCCGGGUGGACACUUCAAACUCUUGCGUAACUUUGCAGUCUGAGUAAAUUUAAUUAAUAAAUUAAAACUUUUAACAACGGAUCUCUUGGUUCUGGCAUCGAUGAAGAACGCAGCGAAAUGCGAUAAGUAAUGUGAAUUGCAGAAUUCAGUGAAUCAUCGAAUCUUUGAACGCACAUUGCGCCCCCUGGUAUUCCGGGGGGCAUGCCUGUUCGAGCGUCAUUUCACCACUCAAGCCUCGCUUGGUAUUGGGCAACGCGGUCCGCCGCGUGCCUCAAAUCGACCGGCUGGGUCUUCUGUCCCCUAAGCGUUGUGGAAACUAUUCGCUAAAGGGUGCUCGGGAGGCUACGCCGUAAAACAAACCCAUUUCUAAGGUUGACCUCGGAUCAGGUAG